rnacentral:rRNA from 1 species
GUGGGGAAUCUUCCGCAAUGGACGAAAGUCUGAUGGAGCAACGCCGCGUGAGUGAAGAAGGUUUUCGGAUCGUAAAGCUCUUUCGUUAGGGACGAACGUGCUCUUUGUGAAUAAUGAGGAGUAAUGACGGUACCUAAAUAAGAAGCCACGGCUAACUACGUGCCAGCAGCCGCGGUAAUACGUAGGUGGCAAGCGUUGUCCGGAAUUAUUGGGCGUAAAGCGCGCGCAGGCGGGAUAUCAAGUCUGUCUUAAAAGUGCGAGGCUCAACCUCGUGAGGGGACAGAAACUGGUAUUCUUGAGUGUCGGAGAGGAAAGUGGAAUUCCAAGUGUAGCGGUGAAAUGCGUAGAGAUUUGGAAGAACACCAGUGGCGAAGGCGACUUUCUGGACGAUGUCUGACGCUGAGGCGCGAAAGCUAGGGGAGCGAACGGGAUUAGAAACCCGGGUAGUCC